UACGGGGGGAGCAAGCGUUGUUCGGAUUUACUGGGCGUAAAGGGCGCGUAGGCGGCCAGCACAAGUCAGUUGUGAAAUCUCCGAGCUUAACUCGGAACGGUCAGCUGAUACUGCUUUGCUAGAGUGCAGAAGGGGCAAUCGGAAUUCUUGGUGUAGCGGUGAAAUGCGUAGAUAUCAAGAGGAACACCUGAGGUGAAGACGGGUUGCUGGGCUGACACUGACGCUGAGGCGCGAAAGCUAGGGUAGCAAACGGG
rnacentral:rRNA from 1 species